UAGAGGAUUUUUUCGCGCUUGUUUGUAAACAACGCGCGGCAUUGUGGGAAAUAGGAAGGUACUAAAGACGCGAUGUACUAAACACUUAUUUGACCUGAUUCAAAUUUGUCUGUAAAUGUUCCAAACAAUUGAAUUUUUGUAUAGCAUAUGCCUCGAAGUCAUAAAGUCUGUACAUAAGUAAUUUAAAAUACUCAAUAUUACCAUUUAAUUAAAAAUUAAAACGUCAGGUAAAUAUCAGGUCUCUAGUAUAUCCCGUUUUUAGUGUGCCCCUUCGAGUCGACGUCGGACACAUGUUUGUCAUGGUUUACAAACUGAAAAUAGAAUGAUUUGUGAAGUUGAACAUUUUCUCACAAAGAAUCCGCUUGUAGACAUGCACACUCAUUUAAUCUGGAGCUACGAAGUACUUUGUCACUUCUCUGGAACAUUAUUCUAAGCAGAAUUAUCCCGAUUCAUAUAUUCUAAGAAUCUUGUGUGAAUUGUUUACGAGGAAAUUCUGACUGUCACAUUAACAAGGAUGAACACUCUUGACUCUGCUUCGGAUUCCCCAGUGAUAAUUGUAUCGAGUGAUGAAAGAGCUGACGGCGACAUUUUAAUGUAUGAUUGGCUUGGACCAUUGGAAUGAAGUCAUUUCAUGGUGCCACCACUUGGGAUGGUAUUAGCUGCAAAUAUAGACUUGUACUCAGCACUUAUUGCCUUUAAGAAGUAUGAGAUCCAUUUUGUGCUAACACCUACCGUGACACAGAAUCUUGGUUUAUGAAGUCUCAUAGGAGUAACCUGUCUAAAGCAUUUAGCAAUGGGAUUGGAACCUGCAACGUAAGGUGUGACUCAUCUGAAGACUGAAUUUUGAUACCAAGCAUGACCAUGAUUUGCCAGAAGAUCAUCUGUUUGGAUGUGACAUGGAAUAAACAGCAUAGUGAAAAUAAGUCAAGUUUUGGUUUGUGAAGACAAUUUUUAAACACACUGUGUAUCAUUUUUAAAUUUUGAUUUGACAACAUAAAUCCACAAAUAUGAACAUAUCAAUUGCUCUCAGUUUUUCAAGUGAAAUAGUUUUUGUAACAGAAAUACAUGUACCAGUAAUUACAUUGGAAUAAAUGUUAUUUUUAAAUAUAAUAAUAUUUUGUUUGUGUAGCAUGUUGACCUCUUUAUUAAGGACUUCCCUUUCAAAGUUUAGACUUACUUAUUCUAAUGAUUAAGAUAGAUCCUCUGUCUUCAGCAGGAUUAGAAGAUCUUGUAAUACAUGUAUGUGUAUUUUUUACAGUAUAAUGUAAAAAAAAUUGUUAUUUUGGCACAUACAACUAAUUAAAGGCAUAAACAUGUGUAUGAUUCCAAGGAAUUCAGUACAUAGGGCAUGUACAUGUAGUUUUCUAAAACAAGAUUGAAGAGAUGUCCAGUCGCAUUUCAAUGUCAACUGCAAAACUGUGCCUGUUGCAUAUUUAUUAGCCCAUCUGAGCUAAAGGAACCAGUAAAUUUUUUAAAAACAUAAUUUUAUCCAUUAUCAUCAUUGUCUAAAAUUUCACAAUAUCAUUUUCCAGAACCAAAGUGAAACUUGGCACAGAGCAUCCUUAGUGUAGGGGAUUCAAAUUGUUCUUAUGCAGGGCAAUACCUUCAAAGAGAUUUGUUUCUUUAAUGCUGUAAAUGUAUAAUAUUUAGCUUGUACAAUAUUUGGUGGAAAUUGACUUUUGAAUAAGUUAGCGUAGAUAUUCUUAUUUAUGUUUAUGUACAAGACUUUUAGCUUUGUACUUGAUUUAGUGAUUGCUGCAUUCCGCCAAAGCUGCUAAAAAAGAAUACACAGCCAUAUGUAAUAUGUUUACAAUAUACCUUUCAGAGAAUUUUACACUCCUAUUGAGGUACCACCAGUUGCUAGUGGAAAGCUGCAAAUUCGAAACAUACACAACACAUUUCUGUGCGUUUAUUAUAAAAGUAUUGUUCUACUUACUGAUUGCAACUAAUGAAGAUUGUUCAUCAUUAUUGUAAAUACAUUUGGAUUUUUUGAAUUAUUAUAUAAUUUGUUUAUUUUAUUUACCUAGUUAUAUUGUAUAUUAAAUGAUUUUAAAGCCAUUUUUAAGAUGGUAAUGUAGCAAAACACUUAUGUUUCUGUAGUAUGACACGUUUCACAAACAUGAUAUAUCCGAUAUCAAAAGUCAUAAUAUUGGAAGUUAAACUGUUGUGGAUACGAUUUCAAGAAUGCUGUUAGAGAGAGUACCCUUUAGACCUCAUGCUCACACCAAAUUAAAGAAUUCAAGUAAGGGUUUCUGAGACAAAUCGAAAAAGAGAAUGUUAGCAAAGUUGACAAUCUAGACAGAAACAUUUAAUCUUUUGCUUAUCGCUAGGAAGGAAGACCCACUCGUUGCUUUGCAACGAGCUUUGCUCUAGUUGUAUUUC